rnacentral:lncRNA from 10 species
ACGUGAGGCUUGCACUGCUCCCGCCAUGGAGCUCAGAUCAUGCCCUGGAGAAGCAGGUGACAUCGCGGAAUUUUCCUGUUCCAGAUGCCAGAAGUCUGAAAUGAAGGUGUAAAGCAGGGUGGUUCCUUCUGGAGGCUCUGAGAGAAUCACCCCAGGCCUCUCUCCAGCUUCUGGUGCUGGUAUUCUCAGGCUUGUAGGCGCAUCACCCAUGUCUGCCUCCAUCUUCACAUGGCCUUCUCCUCUGUGUCUGCCUGAAGUCUCCCUUCAUUUCUCUUGUAAGGACAUCAGUCAUUGGAUUUAGAGCCCACCCUAAACCCAGAAUGAUCUCAUCUCAAGAUUACAUCUGCACAGACGCUAUUUCCAGAUAAGGUCACAGUCAAAGGUACCAGGGGUUAGGAUAUGAACAUAUCUUUUUGAAAGACACGAUUUAACCUACAGCAGGUGCUCAGGGCAGUUGGGUGGGGGCCUGUGCUAGGGGCCCAACAGCCAAGGCUUAAAGCCGCACUCCACACCUAGGCCUGUGACACCUCCCACAAGCUUCUUCACCUCUCAAGCCUCAACUUCUACUUCUGCAAACAGGGAACAAUAAAAGUAUCUCCCUGCCCCCACCUUGCAGGGUUUCCAGUUCCAAUGUCUACACACUCACCUGGGAGUUAUCUGAAAUUGUUGUUCACCUGCUUAAACCUUUUGAGUUUCCAGCACCCCCCAGAAGUCCCCACCCUCUAGUCCCUUAGCAAGAUACUGGCCCUGCGUGAGCUUCCCACCUUCCUUGACAGCUGCAUCUCUCAUCAUUAGGACCUGGGCAACACUGCAGAAUAUGGCAGGUCUUCCCUCAUCUCUGUGCUUUGCCUCCAUUCCCUGACUUCUCUCCCAUCCUCCUCCUGUCACCUGGCCUCUCCCCAUCCUACUGGCCUUAAAGCUCAGCUCCUGAAGCCUCCCUGAUGCUCCUCCCUUCAUAGCCCCUCCCAGCCUGGCCACGUGGGCUCGGGCAGCCCAGAGCCUGGGCCUCCUGGUCACACUCUGAGCACACAGCCCAUUUUCUCUCCAGUGCUGGCUUGUGUUUGACACCAUGCCUGACACAUUGGGGGUGCUCAGUAGACCUGUGUGAGAUGGACAGCCUCCCGUACAGAUGGACGGACAGAUGUACAGCCCCGUGGAGAUGCCCUGUGUAAGCCACUGAAGCCUCUGGCCAACAGCAGUGGGAACCUGAGACGUGUCCACAAGCAUGCAUGGGAGCUUGGAAGUGGAUCCUUCAGCCCCAGCCAAGCCUUCAGACGAUGCAGCCUCAGGGACAGUAUGACUGCAGCCUCAUGAGACCCUGAGCCAGAAACACCCCUCCAAGCCACUCCCAGAUGCCUGGCCCUCAGAACCUGGGAGGCCAGCAAGCAGGAUCGCUCACCAGCCACCCUCCUGAACUGGCCUAUGGGGCCCCAGGAUGAUGCCAUAGCCACAAGUCUGGAGUUCCUCAAAGUACCUGGUCAGCACAACUCAGUUAAACAAUGGGCAAAAGACCUGAACAGACACUUCGCCAGAGAAGAUGUACAGAUGCAAGUAAGCAUUUGAAAAGGUGCCCCACAUCGUAUGUCGUUAGGGAAUGGUCCAAUCCAGAACACUGAUGGCACCAAAGGCUGCUGAGCAUGUGGAGCAGCAGAACUCUCAUUCACUGCUGGUGAGAAAAAUGGCGCAGCCCCAAUAGGGAACCCUAAUGCAGACUCUGGACUUCACUGGAAAUGACGUGUCAGUGUAGCUGCGUCAGUUGUAACAAAUGCACCAGUCUGGUGGGCGUGUUGAUAACCGGGGCUGCGCACGUGGGGAGAGAGGACCUGUGGGAAUGCUCUACUUUCCACUCAUUUUUGCUGUGAACUUAAAACUGCUCUUACAAAAUAACAUUGUUUGUUGUUGUUGUUGUUGUUGUUGUUGUUGUUGUUUUUAAGUAUCUAGUCAGCUCCACACAUGACCCGGGCAGAGUGGGAAGUUGUAGAGUGCCCCAAGGAGAGAAAUGGAACCAGGUCUCAUGUGGGGCCAAGUGUGGGCUCCCUGUCCUCUCAGCUGGUCCCAGGAACUGAAGGGAAAUUUAGACAACUUGGAGAAAGACACUCUAGGGCUCGGGGCAAAGGGUGGUGUUGAUGAGAACCAUAUUUUUUUAUUGCUGGUGUAAGCACUUGUAUUUUUCUGAUUUUCCACUGGUUCGAUAAUAAGGGUAAAAGACAAUAAAGCAUACUUUUUAAGCUUUUGUUUAGAAGUUUUUUUUCCAAUAAAACUUCCCCAAAA